AUUAAUACCCCAUAAUAUAUUUGUCGGCAUCGAUGGAUAUUGAAAACUCCGGUGGAUAGAGAUGGGCACGCGCAAGAUUAGAUAGUUGGUGAGGUAACGGCUCACCAAGUCUACGAUCUUUAGGGGGCCUGAGAGGGUGAUCCCCCACACUGGUACUGAGACACGGACCAGACUCCUACGGGAGGCAGCAGUGAGGAAUAUUGGACAAUGGGUGAGAGCCUGAUCCAGCCAUCCCGCGUGAAGGACGACGGCCCUAUGGGUUGUAAACUUCUUUUGUAUAGGGAUAAACCUACCCUCGUGAGGGUAGCUGAAGGUACUAUAUUUUAUAAGCACCGGCUAACUCCGUGCCAGCAGCCGCGGUAAUACGGAGGGUGCAAGCGUUAUCCGGAUUUAUUGGGUUUAAAGGGUCCGUAGGCGGAUCUGUAAGUCAGUGGUGAAAUCUCACAGCUUAACUGUGAAACUGCCAUUGAUACUGCAGGUCUUGAGUGUUGUUGAAGUAGCUGGAAUAAGUAGUGUAGCGGUGAAAUGCAUAGAUAUUACUUAGAACACCAAUUGCGAAGGCAGGUUACUAAGCAACAACUGACGCUGAUGGACGAAAGCGUGGGGAGCGAACAGGAUUAGAUACCCUGGUAGUCCACGCCGUAAACGAUGCUAACUCGUUUUUGGUCUUUUCGGAAUCAGAGACUAAGCGAAAGUGAUAAGUUAGCCACCUGGGGAGUACGUUCGCAAGAAUGAAACUCAAAGGAAUUGACGGGGGCCCGCACAAGCGGUGGAUUAUGUGGUUUAAUUCGAUGAUACGCGAGGAACCUUACCAAGGCUUAAAUGGGAAAUGACAGGUUUAGAAAUAGACUUUUCUUCGGACAUUUUUCAAGGUGCUGCAUGGUUGUCGUCAGCUCGUGCCGUGAGGUGUUAGGUUAAGUCCUGCAACGAGCGCAACCCCUGUCACUAGUUGCCAUCAUUAAGUUGGGGACUCUAGUGAGACUGCCUACGCAAGUAGAGAGGAAGGUGGGGAUGACGUCAAAUCAUCACGGCCCUUACGCCUUGGGCCACACACGUAAUACAAUGGCCGGUACAGAGGGCAGCUACACUGCGAAGUGAUGCAAAUCUCGAAAGCCGGUCUCAGUUCGGAUUGGAGUCUGCAACUCGACUCUAUGAAGCUGGAAUCGCUAGUAAUCGCGCAU
rnacentral:rRNA from 1 species